rnacentral:rRNA from 1 species
CCUACGGGGAGCAGCAGUGGGGAAUAUUGGACAAUGGGCAAAAGCCUGAUCCAGCCAUGCCGCGUGUGUGAAGAAGGCCUUCGGGUUGUAAAGCACUUUCAGUGGGGAAGAAAGCCUUGGGGCUAAUGCCCUCGAGGAAGGACAUCACCCACAGAAGAAGCACCGGCUAACUCCGUGCCAGCAGCCGCGGUAAUACGGAGGGUGCGAGCGUUAAUCGGAAUUACUGGGCGUAAAGCGCGCGUAGGCGGUCUGAUAAGCCGGUUGUGAAAGCCCCGGGCUCAACCUGGGAACGGCAUCCGGAACUGUCAGGCUAGAGUGCAGGAGAGGAAGGUAGAAUUCCCGGUGUAGCGGUGAAAUGCGUAGAGAUCGGGAGGAAUACCAGUGGCGAAGGCGGCCUUCUGGACUGACACUGACGCUGAGGUGCGAAAGCGUGGGUAGCAAACAGGAUUAGAUACCCGAGUAGUC